CCAGCCGCUAGAAAGCCAAGCUGUUGUUUUAAUAGAGCAAUAAAAAUGAAUUAUAGUUUAAACGCCUUCGAGUUUCUGGAUGGAAUCCCCAGUCCAGACUAAUACGUAAGAGGGGUUUUUUUAUGUGUGUGUGAGCUCUUUGCAAUUGAUCUUCCCCCUCGAUGACAUCCUCGUUCAUAGAAAGUAUUUGAUUUAUGAGAUUAGGAAGAAUUGCAUCCAGC
rfam:Xenopus laevis strain J chromosome 6S, whole genome shotgun sequence.